rnacentral:rRNA from 1 species
UACGUAGGUGACAAGCGUUGUCCGGAUUUACUGGGCGUAAAGAGCGCGCAGGCGGUCGAUCAAGUCGAGUGUGAAAGCCCCCGGCUCAACUGGGGAGGGUCAUUCGAUACUGAUCGACUCGAAGGCAGGAGAGGGUAGUGGAAUUCCCGGUGUAGUGGUGAAAUGCGUAGAUAUCGGGAGGAACACCAGUGGCGAAGGCGACUACCUGGCCUGUUCUUGACGCUGAGGCGCGAAAGCUAGGGGAGCGAACGGGG